rnacentral:lncRNA from 1 species
CUUAUUCCGGAAGAAACCUCCCAGAAUAAACCCGUAUAAAGGGAUUCGAAUAUAGGGAAUGACUAGUUGCUUAAGCGUUCACGUUAGGAUCACAUAAUCAAUUACCUCCUGAAUGUAUCAUUUCUAUUUUCAAUAUCUGAACAUACAAGGAAACUAUAAUCUCCUCCUUCACCUUAUCGAUCUCUUCCUUACAACAAUUCAAUCAUACCAAUAACUGCUAUUUCUAUCAAUAUAUUCACCCUCAUAAUCUCCAUCUGUAAUACUGCGCCCUCAUAGCUUUCAACAUACAAUUAUCCUCAUUCCAAUCAUUAGAAUUCUUCACACAGAAUUGCCAUUCACAUUACACUGUUUUCCACAAAUACAGACUCAUUCUCUCUGCUGAACUACAACCAAAUUUCAGCAUUCAAUCUUUCUUCUUCUCAAAUAAUAUCAAUCACAUUUCUUUUUCAUAAUUCACUUCAUAAUAUUUAAAAACUUUCAAUCCUCUUAUUCAAAGAAAAUAACAAACAAAAGCAAAGAGAUAGCAUCAAGCUUAUCCCGACUCAUACUAUCACAACAAUGGCCCUCGGCUCAUGACUAUCACAGUCUGGCACCUUAAUUAACAUCUACAACUCCUAUAUACUUUUCCCUAAUUUUCCAAAUUCUAACUGUAGUUCUGUAAUUAACUACUUUUAAUAACUAAAUCACUCAUCCGUCCUCUUGAAUUUCCUAUUAUAUGGACUAUUAAUAUAUUUUACCAAUAUGUUUUAAAAACGAAUUAAUAUCUAUUCUACAUAGCCCCACUCCUAUCUAUGCAACAUCCUCACAAACACUCAAUUGAUACCUAUCUAAAAACUACUUAACAAAACUCUACAAAAAUUGCGAUCCCUCUGGCCUAUCUUAUUAAUCAAUUGCCACAGUAUUUGUUAUUGGUUCCACCGAUUCUGGUUCCAACUGCAAAUCUUUGUCUUCUUCCAAUCCUUCUAUCAGCUCCUACCUCAACUGAACUGAAAGGUCUUCAUUGUACUCGCCUAGUAUAUGGACUUGAGCUUCUAAUUUCAAGAUUUGAAC